rnacentral:rRNA from 1 species
CUACGGGUUGCAGCAGUUAGGAAUAAUCUACAAUGCGCGCAAGCGUGAUAGUUUGAGCCAGAGUGCUUUACAUAGUAAAGCUUUUGCCAAAUGUAAAUAGUUUGGCGAAUAAGGACUGGGUAAGACGAGUGCCAGCCGCCGCGGUAAUACUCGCGGUCCAAGUCGCAGCCAUUUUUAUUGGGUCUAAAACAUCCGUAGCUUGCUUGAUAAGUCUUCUGUGAAAUUUCACACCUCAAAUGUGAAGCGCGCAGAAGGUACUGUCAAGCUAGAGACUGGUAGACGUAAAGAGUAUGUUCAGAGUAGCGGUAAAAUGUGUUAAUCCUGGACAGACUAACAAGAGCGAAGGCACUUUACGAGGACAGUUCUGACAGUAAGGGAUGAAGGCUAGGGGCGCAAAACGGAUUAGAUACCCGCGUAGUC